rnacentral:siRNA from 1 species
GCCUAACGGCGUGCCUCGGCAU